AUAAAAUAAAUCAAUUGGAAUAUAACUAUUGUACUUACAUCCAAUGUAUAGUCCAUAGAGCAGUAUAAACAAGUCACUGUCUGCAUGAAAUUGUAGUUUGUGCUGGUUUGGCUAAUGCUAGUAGCCUGUUGUAAAACUAGGCAAAUAACUAGAUGAGUUGAUGUACCCCCUGGAAGACCUCUGUGUACCCCCAGGGGUGUGCGUACCCCUGGUUGAUAACUACUGCCUUUGAGGAUCUGAGCCCAGAACUCUUGGGGCUGUAAUCUUCCGCUGCACAGAAUGAACAAGACAAUCAGGGCCUAUGGUUUGCACUUCUACUUUUUGAUGCAUGUUUAUGUCAUUUUAAUCUCAUUUCCCUUCCUCCCCAGGCCCCAUUCAGUUCAUUUGCCAUCAUGCGUGUCAGUCUUUCCUAUUCCAACUACUGGUACCUUGGAAGUUAAUUCAAGGGGCAGAUGAACAUCUCUUGAGAGAAAAAGAUUGUUUCUGUUUUACCUUGCCCCUUAGCCUUUGAUUGUGCCUGCCCUUCAUUAGCACAGAUCCAACAGGAAUGUGGAAGUUUUACCUGGCUCUGCAAAGAGAAACUCGUAUACUAAAAGUUUGGAAUCUGUUAAACGGUUCUGAGCUUGACGAAUUGUAGCAUUCAGAGCAUUUCUAUUUUAAAUUGAGUUUUUAACGUUACUUCCCAGGGACCGCUCCAAUGUCAUUUUCAUUUCUUUGGAAUCAGAAAAGAUUGGUUAUUUUUUGGAAUCGUCAUUAAAAUAAGAGAUGAUAUUGAUGAAAUACGGUGAUGCCACAGCCAGAUAAAGGCCUCCUGCUGCUAAAUGAUCUCCCAGGUGAAAAUGAGUCAUGUUAAAAAUGCAUGGCAAAGUAAACCCACAUUUUCUAAGCCAGAGGUGGUAAUUCUAUGAAAAUAUUCCUGAUCACCAUUUCUGUAAUGGUCUCUGUGUUCGUCAUUUCAUUUGCAUUCUGACUGGCUUAGAGAUCUUUAAUUCAGCCAAUGCCAUGUUCAUCAAAACAGUAUUACCAGCUGCCACGAUAUUUGCUGUUCUUGCUCAAAGCCUCAGCUCCUGGAGUCAUAGGAAUAUGGGAGAAUCUCAGCUUUCACUUUUGGUGGUUUUUUUAAAGUAUGUUCCUACCCCUCGUGGUUGUAUAAAUACGUUCUGGAGGUUCUCUAAAGGCUCACAAAAUAAGGCAAAUAAAAAAACCUGCAAAUGUAUUAUUUUUAAAAAAAUCUCAUGAUUUUUAGGUGCCUCACUCCAGAUUUUUUGAACACUUGGGAUUGACAGUGCUGGAAAAGUGAAAGAUUUGUCUGAAAACCAACUUGCUGUAGUUUUGAAGUGAAGCUGAUUCAGUACAGAGAACUCACACAAGGCUGUUCAAAUCACAUAAGCCCCAAACGCAGCAUUUAAAUGGGUUUCAGAUGAAGAGCUUUUAAACAAUGUUCCUAGAUUCUGUAGCCUGCACCACGGUCACUUUGAACAGAAAUUUCACUGAUCGUGCCUAAGUGUUCAAUAUUUCUAGUGACCUCAAGGCGUUCCUUGACUUCUGUUCUACAUUCCCAGCUGUGGAUAAGCUACAUGAAAUUGCAGCCAAAGUGUAUGAAAAACUUGACAUCCUGUUGAGUGGGAAAACGUACCAACCAGGUCUUCUCCCUCAACUCCUGCAGUCCGUUUUUCAGAAGCAGAUCCUGCUGCUGCAGCGAGCAAUCAUUGAAAGCAGACUGGAGUGUGAACGUCACUGUGGAAUCUUUAGAUAUGAUGCUGUCUCCUGCACGAAUUGUAACUUCUCCAGACCGGCUUGCUUUGGAUAUAACUGCGAGUCAUCAGAAGAAUGGGAAACAGCCUUAAAAGGCCUUUUUGAUUACAUAAACAAAAUAUACCGGCAAUCAGCAAGGUGGCUAGUUGCCUUGAGAAGGAUCCCAGGAUUCCACAAUUGCACAUCCACCAGCCCAGCAAUGCUAAACUUUAAAAGGAUAAAGGCCAGCAUGUCGGAGACUUGGCACAACACGCUUGUGAACAGGAAGACUACUGGAUGGCACAAACACAGAAUCCCGCCCCCUAGAGUGAUAGACUGCUGAGCUGUGAUUUUUUAAAUGAAUACUUAGAAUGUAUUAGGUGUAAGGGAAAUUAAACAGAAAUGAUCAGUG